rnacentral:lncRNA from 1 species
AUGAUGAAUGGACAUUAACACGUGGACUCUCUAGUUGGCCACCACCACUCCCUACUCAAAUGCACACCAACCUAAGAAGGCUCCGUGGGGUCGUAUCCUCAUUCCAGGGAGCCUGAUUCAAUCUCCUGUCCUCUCUACCGCCCCCCACCCCCGCCCCGCUCCCCUUCUCAACAUUCCCGCUCCUUUCCCCUCCUAGUCCAAAGCCAUCCCUGAGCCGGAUACUCUCCUAAACCAGCCUAGGAAAAAGUGACUCAACUCAGAUCCACCCUGGGCACAGGGGCAUGGGUUUAUAACAGCAAACGUAUGCUGUCAUGCC